GUCCCCGUAGUUUAAUUGGAUAAAACGCCAGACUGCGGAUCUGGAAACUGGAGGUUCAAAUCCUCCCGGGGACACC
rnacentral:tRNA from 1 species